GCCCCUAUGGUGUAGUCCGGUCAAUCAUCUUCGGUUCUCGACCGAAGGACCUGAGUUCAAAGGGAAUCCCUCUUUAGAAAAGAGGUCUUCCAACCCCAGAAACUAAUAUUCUGGGAAUAUGAAAAUCUCAGUGGGGGCA
rnacentral:tRNA from 1 species